ACAACGGAAUUUGCUACUUUUUCUUUCUUCUCCAGUGCAAACGAAAGUAAAGCAAAUACUAAACUUUCAGUCUGCCCAACACCGACGAUAGCCGCUUCAAAUUCCCUUCGUCGACGCCGCCACUACCUCUGAACAAUGGUUGUGCAACUAAAGCUUUACCACAGUCUUCUCUGUCAUACACCCAAUACCGAACACCGCUAUCGCUUUGGAUUUUGCUACAAGUACAUAGGGGAUACAUAAGGGUGUCCAUUAUGGACACCCUUAUGUACCCCCAAUGGACAACAAGAUUAAUCCUAUCGCUUUUUCUCAAGACAAUUAAUGGAUGGAGAUCGCAAAAUUGAAGUAAUAAAUGCUAUAAAAAAACUCAGUUUUCCAACUGUCUGUCCAAGACCCACCUCGAUUUUUCUGUUCGUGGGCUCAAUUCUUAGGCAGGUAACAAUUAAAUUUACUAAUUUCUCAUUUCUCAUUACCCAAAUUGAUUUCAGUCACUGUUAAUUAUCCAUAUCCUACAUUAGUUUUGUGAUUUCUUCUUGGAUGUUUGGAAUUGAUAAUAAGUAAUAAAGAAAUAUUGAGAUCGACGAGAUAUUUGGGGAUGCAAGGUGGGAAAAUGUCCCCACAAAGAGCGCAAUCUUCGUUUGGGGAUAUAACCAAUCGGGUCAAACAGGUAAGACGGGUAAAGAGCACAACUUGAGGUCCCGAGGCAGCUUCUGCUGGAGCUUUUCUGUUGUCCCGCGGGGCCCGCCGACGAAAAUUCCGGUGGCUUGAUAUUGCUGGUGUCCAUGAGCACACUGCUGCUGUCGCCUCUGAUGGCUCGAUUUUCACCCGGGGUGUCUAAAAUUUGGACAUCAGCGAUAUAAUGGAAGAAGCCAAGACCAGAUGGCUCAGACCAAAUGAAAUUCACUCCAUACUCCGUAAUUACAAGUAUUUCACUAUUAAUCUCAAGCCUGUGAAUUUGCCAAAAAGUGAUACAUUGAGGGAGGUGGAAGAUUGGAGCAUAGCCCACAAAUUGAUUGAAGACAAUUUGUAAUGUCGUCUAUUGAACGCUUAGCGGCUGAUUUUUUCAAUUCUUGAGGCGGUGAAGCUUCCUUUGCACCCAAAGAAUCUAAAAAUUAUAUCCACUGCUUCUCUUUUUUAACCAUCUUCCUGUUAAUGCUGUCUACCUUCUCCUUGUCUACUUUUCCCUUUGGAAACAAAGAAAUACUGCAUGCAGGAGUCUAUGAUUCAUGUUUGUGUAUUGCACUGCACAAGUAGUUUUGUUCACUACUAUUUAGAAUUUAUUGUUAGAUUCGAAGUUAUAGCAUUCUCCAUUUAUAUAUUGAUGACUUUGAUGAGGAGAAAUAUACAACAAAUUAACCAUUA